rfam:Oryza glumipatula chromosome 9, whole genome shotgun sequence.
AAAAAUGACAAACCCUAGUUUCCGUGUCCAACGUUUAACCGUCCGUCUUAUUUGAAAAAAUUAUGAAAAAAAUUCAAAAGAUAAGUCACGCAUAAAAUAUUAAUCAUGUUUUAUCAUCUAACAACAAUGAAAAUACGAAUUAUAAAAAAAUUUCAUAUAAGACGGACAGUCAAAGUUGGACACGGAAAUCUAAGAUUUGCCUUUAUU